CUUUCUCGAGGAGCUCUCCUGGGCGGCUGAAGAAGGAGCUUCUUCUCCGGAGUGCGCCGGCGGUGGCGCCUGCGGACCUAACUAGCUCCAGGACUUGAAAAUACUGGAAAUCUGUCCGGAUCCAAAUUAUUUUGCAAGCCAGAUGAGUAACCAGAGGGCAUGAAAGGUUGAGAACAUUUGACUUCCCUGCAAACCUUGGUAUAGAUCACUUCCUUUUCUGUAGGAAAGGAAAGGCACCAAAGAGCACAAUGAGUACAAGAAAGCGUCGUGGUGGAGCAAUAAAUUCUAGACAAGCUCAGAAGCGAACUCGGGAAGCAACCUCCACCCCCGAGAUCUCCUUGGAAGCAGAACCCAUAGAACUCGUGGAAACUGGCUGGGGUGCAGUGGCGUGAUCUUUGCAUCCCGGGGUUCAAGCAAUUCUCCUGCCUCAGCCUCCCGAGUAGCUGGGAUUACAGCUGGAGAUGAAAUUGUGGACCUCACUUGUGAAUCUUUAGAGCCUGUGGUGGUUGAUCUGACUCACAAUGACUCUGUUGUGGUAAGUGUUG
rnacentral:lncRNA from 10 species